UUUUGUUGAGGAGUUGACUCA
rnacentral:piRNA from 1 species